AGGCCACUGCUAUCAGAGUUCGAUUAAGCCAUGCGAGUCGAGAGGUGUAAGACCUCGGCAUACUGCUCAGUAACACGUGGACAACCUACCCUAAGGAGGGGGAUAACCCCGGGAAACUGGGGAUAAUACCCCAUAGACUAUGGAUGCUGGAAUGCUUCGUAGUUCAAAGGUCCGCCGCCUUAGGAUGGGUCUGCGGCCGAUUAGGUUGUUGUUGGGGUAACGGCCCAACAAGCCUGUAAUCGGUACGGGUUGUGGGAGCAAGAGCCCGGAGAUGGAUUCUGAGACACGAAUCCAGGCCCUACGGGGCGCAGCAGGCGCGAAAACUUUACAAUGCGAGAAAUCGUGAUAAGGGAACUCUGAGUGCCCGUAAAAUCGGGCUGUCCAUCUGUUUAAAUAACAGGUGAAGAAAGGGCCGGGCAAGACCGGUGCCAGCCGCCGCGGUAAUACCGGCGGC
rnacentral:rRNA from 1 species